rnacentral:rRNA from 1 species
AGCGAACGCUGGCGGCAGGCCUAACACAUGCAAGUCGAACGAACCUUUCGGGGUUAGUGGCGGAUGGGUGAGUAACACGUGGGAACGUGCCUUUAGGCUCGGAAUAACACAGGGAAACUUGUGCUAAUACCGAAUGUGCCCCUCGGGGGAAAGAUUCAUCGGCUUUAGAGGGGCCCGCGUCUGUUUAGCUAGGUGGUUGAGGUAAUGGCUCACCAAGGCGACGUACAGUAGCUGGUCUGAGAGGAUGAUCAGCCACAUUGGGACUGAGACACGGCCCAGACUCCUACGGGAGGCAGCAGUGGGGGAUCUUGCGCAAUGGGCGAAAGGCUGAAGCAGCCAUGCCGCGUGAAUGAUGAAGGUCGUAGAAUUGUAAAAUUCUUUCACCGGGGACGAUAAUGACGGUACCCGGAGAAGAAGCCCCGGCUAACUUCGUG